GACGAACGCUGGCGGCGUGCUUAACACAUGCAAGUCGAACGAAGUGGCGAACGGGUGAGUAACGCGUAAUCCACCUGCCCUUCAGAGGGGGACAACAGUUGGAAACGAAUGCUCAUACCACAUACUGAAGGGGGGGAUUGCGUCUGAUUCGCUCGUUGGAGGGGGAACGGCCCACCAAGGCGAUGAUCAGUAGCCGGGUGGAGUGGUUGAACGGGCACAUGGGGACUGGGACACGGCCCAGAACCUUACGGGAGGCAGCAGUGGGGAAUUUUCCGCAAUGGACGAAAGUCUGACGGAGCAACGCCGCGUUAGUGAUGACGGUCUUCGGGUUGUAAAGCUCUGUUAAUCGGGACGCGGUACCGGAAUAGAAAGCAACGGCUAACUACGUGCCAGCAGCCGCGGUAAUUC
rnacentral:rRNA from 1 species